GUCGGCUCUCAAAGCCCAGGUAGCAGCUGUCUUAGGCUGCACGGCCCUCCUCACCGCUUCAGUUCCUGAAGGGAAAGGCCCCAGGAGACUGAAGUGAAGAACGCUCUUCCAUUUUCAACUCACCCGCCGUUAGGGUUCUGUCCCCUCUACACUCCAGCCCCCCAACCGGGAAGUUCCCGGGGCCCCUGGCCAGUCACUUGCCGAAGCCUCGCUCUCCAGGAUCUCUAUGAAGAGGCACCUUACUCUAAUGCAUGCUUCUCCGGGAAUAUUUGCUCUGGAAACGGCUGAGAAUAAAAACCCAUCUCUAACAGUGUGGUUGCAGGUAAUUGUGGCUGUUGUCCCGCGGUUGUAUUUCUAAGGUGCAGCAACAACCCUGCUGGCUCCAAGGUGACUUUUCCACCGAGGAUAAAACGAGGAAGCUGGUUGACACUUUGUUCCCUAAAAUACAAGAAACAAAACGUCCAUUUAAUUGUCGUGGGCACUCUACUCUGGAGGACACCCUGAUCAGAAACUUCGCGUGACUACAAAUCUUAGGCUUUGCAGUACCCACAGGCUGUAAAAUGAACAGGUUCGUUUCAGUGGCUCAGAGGCAGUCAAUACCAUGUGUAGGCCUGGGAGGCCUCCCUCAGCUGUCCCCUGCCUUUGUGACUCCAUAGCUCCUUGAGACAGAAACAUCGAUGUAUGCAGCAUGAGGUUCUGCUCCAAACGAAGAACACGCACCCCCUUAGAGUUCAGCAGACACUUCAGUGCACAGCAAGGAAACUGAGGCUCAGAGAACCAGUGGCUCCCUCACCCAGGUCAUCAGAGGCAGAGCCAGGGCAAGAUCUCUGUCUCCUUGGCUCCCGUCUCACAGUUCUGGGCCAGUUGGGCCCUUGCAAACUGGGCUUCCUGCCAGCCACGGCACUUCCUGAUGAACAGGAUGCAUUAGCUCAGAGAGCCUAUUUAUCUUGGUUUUGCCCAGAGCAAGCCCUCGCUAUGGCUGUUUCUGAAUCUUCUGGGAGUUCGGGUGGAUUUGUGGUCAGGGCUGAGGAGCUCUCUUGUUGAUCCUUCGUUGGAAGUGGGAACUCCUGCAUUUCUGUCUCAGAGUUCGAUUACAUACCUUGUUGAGUCACGAGUUCCCAUCUACAGAUGAGGAACCUGAGUUCAGCACCUGAGAUCUACCAGCAGCUAAGGGGCUAGAGGGUGCUGGAACCCAGGACUCGUCAGCUCUUCUUGAAAGCGCACUGAAUUCACAUGGACGUUUAGUAAUUUUAAAGUUCUUUUCAACUGGAGUCUAGAGUGUUUGUGUCCUUUGCACUUAAUACUUAGGGCUUUGAAUGACUCAUCUUCCAAAAGAUCUUUCUUUCCCCGAAAGCCAAGAGGAGGGCCUGUGUGAAUAAGGACCAAUCAUCUCGUUGGGCAUGAAUAUUGCUACUGAAAACUAAUGUUUUCAUGCUAAUACCAUGGAAGAGAAGAACACCAGUUUGGAAUUUGGGGAACUGGAUUUUUACUUUAAGUAUUAUUAGAACCUCUCGCAUAAUUGUGGCCAGUCCUUAUCCUCUCUGGACUGCAGCUUUCUGGUUAUACAUUGCUCUGUUAGGCUCUAGAGGUCCUCCCAGCGUAGAGCUCUGCAGUGUUUCUACAAAGUAGGAUCAGGAGUUGGGAGGCCCAGUUUUACCUCUGUGUGGCCUUGUCGCUGAGCCUCAGAAACUUGGCAAGAUAAGGAUAAUUUUUGACUUUUUUAGCUUUAAAAAUACAAAAGUCAUCAGAACAAAAUAUUCAAAAAGAAGACAUCAGCCCAUCGUUCUUAGGUACUUUGGGAUCAUCAGGACAGUGUCCCCAAUGAUCUCAGCUGACAGUCUCCACAUGAUUCUUUCUGCUUAUAAAGUCUCCAUGCUCCUAAAUUGUAUUUUCUCGAAUGCCCAGCUCUAUCAGAAGCUGCCAUCUGGAAAGGAGAAUGGCAUCAAUUAGUUUCUGAUAGGAAAUCUCAAGAAUCUCCAAAAUUGGUCUUCAAUUUUCUGGAAGCACGAAUAGGAACUGGGUCUCAGCUGUGAAACUGAGGUCAGAUACCAAGGACACUUUAAUCAGUGAUGGUCAGAAACAUGUGUCGCCCCAAACACGGGUGUGCCUGCUGCACACAGCACAGUCACUGUGGUGUGAUAAUGGCCAUCACUGCAGCCACUCAGCACAAUAACUGUGGUGUGAUAAUGGCCAUCACUGCAGCCACUCGCUCACACAUGCACGAGUAUUAGGUGGAAUAAAUCCAUCGCAACAACUGCUUAUAAUUGACGGCUGUGCUCUGACAGUUGGUACAAAUACGACUACCGACCACUUUUGUUUCUUGCACGUGUUCAAUGAGAAAACCCUUUAAACAUAGACAGUGCAAAUUAUGGUAGGAACAGAAUAACACACGGGAAAAUUAAAGACUUUCCUCUGAAAACCCCACUUUUAAUCAAGGCUGGAAGUCAGAAUGCCACAGUUGAAGGAAGAGGGACGUGGAGAAGAUGAUUAUGCUAGAAUGCUUAGGAAUUCAAUUUCACUUGCAACAAAAUGGUGCCUGUGAGCUGCUCACACGGUAGACCUGCCAAACGACCUCACAAGCAAUCCGGCAGUGCUUCCUCAGCGUCAAAAACCCCCAAGCAAUCUGUGUGACCGACUUUUCACCACUAAGGAACUCUCUGGGUUAACACAUGUUGGAGACACAUGCUUCCUUACGUUUGUGGUUUUUCCAGUAAAGUCUAGGACCUCAUGGGUUGCUGUUUUCCACUUUUCAUUGGCAGGAACUGUGGGCAAAACAUGAGAUUGAUAGGUCAUUGGAAUGGGUAGCAAAUCCCAGGUUGAUGCCCUGGCUCAGAGGGCAGCUUUUGAAUCACGCGAAUCUGGGUUCAAAAUGUGGCUCCUCCCUUUGGUAGCACUGUGUCCUGAAGACACACUAAAGAGGCAGGCCACAGACAGAGGACCUCGGGGAGAGAGGGCAGACCUUCCUUCUCAGCCCUGGGAAAGAUGUCCCCCGACUCGAAGCCUCCACGUGUCCAUCCGGGAGGCAGGGAUAAGGGUGGAAUUCAGUUCACACUGCGGUGAGGAUACUGUGUAGCAAUGCUUAUGAAGGGCUUAGCCUACUGACUGGCAUUGUCCAGUACUCAACCAUGGGUACACGCGGUUCUUUGCCCACAAAGGCGUUGGUCUGGCGUCUUUCACAAAUACAUCAAGGUCCCACGAAGGAGUUCCCCAAACCGUGUAACUGGGAACCCUUGUGCAUGCCAUAUCCUGGGUUACUAAGUCAAUGAGAUUUGAUUCUUCGGGAUGUCUGAAGAUUAAACAGCGUGAAAGGAACAAGUGAGAUUUGAUGGCCAAGGGUGUUUCCUUCAGGGGGCAGAGUCUCUAAACUGUGCAAAGAGAAAAGUGAGAGCCACACUCCCCUUGCAGAAAAUCUUUACGGAGACCUGGCAUUGCGGGUCUGAAAGUGUGAGUCAUCUGGGGUGAGGGGAAAGGGAAACCCAGAGUGGCUAUGUCCUCACCCGAAGAGUGGAGAUGACUAAGGUGAAUCUGAGAAACUGCCGAGUUUUGGAAGCCACUUGAGGGGCUGCAGUCUUGACCCUCGCUGCCUCUCAGCUUUUUUUUUUUUUUUUUUUUUUGAGACAGAGUCUCACUCUGUCACCCAGGCUGGAGUGCAGUGGUGUGAUCUCAGCUCACUGCAAGCUCCGCCUCCCAGGUUCAAGGGAUUCUCCUGCCUCAGCCUCCCGAGUAGCUGGGAUUACAGGUGCGUGCCACCAUGCCGGGUAAUUUUUGUAUUUUUAGUUAGAGACUGGGUUUUACCAUGUUGGCCAAGAUGGUCUCCAUCUCUUGACCUCGCGAUCCACCCCCAUCGGCUUCCCAAAGCGCCGGAAUUACAGACGGGAGCCACUGCGCCCGGCCUGCCUCUCGACUUUCAAUGCCUCACCGCUCCUUAGUGAGGAAGCAAACCCGCAGAGUCUCGGUAAUUAAAAGUUGUGAAUGUCUCCUUUCCUUUUUCUGAUAAAUUAAAAGGAUUUGACAUAGGAAGAAGAGAAGACAGAAUUUAGUUAUUUUUGGUGAUUGCGGUAUCGAACUGAUAAUUUGCUCAAUUUUCUUGCAAAAUUGCCUAAUUUAGAACAACUGAACAGAUGGUUUUUUUGUUUUGCCGCGUUCUCUUGUUAACCCGGCAGCCAGCCCCGGGCUCGCCUCGCGUUCCAGCACAGCCCUGGAACUCAGACCACAGAGGGAUGGAGCGACGUGGAAACCCCCCCAGAAGAGGGCCGCCCUGGAAACGUCCUUGGGCGAUGCCCAUUCCUGCCGGAAGAGGGUACUUGGGACACACUCAAGAGCCAGCGCCUGGGCUUGCAGAGCCGGCAGUCAGAAGUCAGCGCCGGCUUUGGCUUCUAAACUGUUUUUCUUCAGUAAUUGCCAGGUAAACUGCUUCUCACCUAAAAUGUGUCUCCUUUCACUUUCCCAGCUUUAAAAAAUGCCCCUUAAAUAUAAUGCCACAAGUAAGAUGAACAGCUGCUGAGAAGAUGGUUGCUGCUUCUGUGAUUGUUCAGGAAAUGCAAGACUCGAACAUCAGCGCAAGGCUGACCACACUCAGCGUUUCUUGCUUGGACAGUGAUUCAGUCCUGAGUCACCCACAGCACCAAUGAGAGACCCACAAGCAGGUGCUCACCCACAGGGCAGGUGAGGGGUCGACUCCAGGAGCAGAGCACGCCGUGCCCACCUGCUGGUGUCAGCCGCCUGCUCCUCGUUCUCCAGGUGUGGCUGCGGGUGCCCCUUCUUGUCCUGUACCACCCCUGAGCAUCCAGUCAUUUAUGUCACUCUGCUCCCACCCACUUAAACCACUGGCAUCACACACGCCGAGUGCAUUCCUGUAGCUCCAAGGUAGCAUUGCUCUUUGACCCUGGCCAUGCGCCAGAAUUGUCCGUGGGGAUUUAUGAAGAUGGGUGGCCAGAUACCACCUGGGAGUUCUGUUUUUACAGGUGUGUUGUGGAGUUUGGACACACACACACACACACACACACACACUCAAGCUUCAUGGGACAAUACGGACAUGUAGACUUGACAACUGCUCUUCUGCUGCUACAGAUAAAGGCUGAUAAGGUGUCACAGUGCUGUCACCCUCAUUGUCCACUUCAUUACUCCACAGGCAGCCCAACGCUGGGUUCACAGAAAUGGUAUAGAGGCCAGAGGGCAUGAGGAUCCAGUUCAGAUAUCCUAAGAGUAUGUUUGGAAAUCACAUCAUCUUUUCCCAUCUUUGGGGUGGCACUCACUGCCCUAGAAUCACAGGUGUAACUUCUGUCUCUGGCUCUGCCAGCCCUGCCCAUUCCCUGCAGUCUCCCACUCAGAGCCCCCAAAUUUCUCCAUAAAGUUCAAGUUCUCCAAAGUGUGACCAGAUCCUCCAUGGACCACCUAUCUUUGGAUGACACUCACCUUGCUGAAUCUAUCGCUCUUAUUCCAGAGUGGGUCCCACAGCUCUACUGGAUGAUCUUGUUCUCAAGCAAGAUAAAACUUUCCCCCAAAGUUGCCUUUUCUCCCUUUCCCAGCUCUACGGGUGCACUUGCUAGAUGGGUGAUAGUUUUCCACAGCACAGUCAUGUUUUGGAUACCGACAGCUUAGGUAAAACCACCAAAAAUGUCCUGAAUAGUUGUCAAAGAAUGCCUCAUUGAGCUCCUUUUGGGAAAUACAGUUUCUACCCAGAAUAGAAUAAAAGUGAAGAUGUAACGGAAAAAGAGAAGUUAUUGACAGACUUCUUGUGUGUUUAUAAUGGUACCUGAUGCUGUGUGGUUGCCAUGAGACCGGCCCCCAGGUGGCCUAGGAUGGAGUGCUAUCUAUGCAGCUGCCUGGUUUAUGUGCACAGUUCCCAUGUCCUGAUGAGCUGUUAACACAAAAGCUUCCUGUAGUAUGCAUGUUCUCACAAGGGUGUGUGGUCAGAUGAGGGGUGGGUGUGGCAGGAUAAGGAGCAGGUGGCAAUUCACACGUGGAGCUAAGGCAAGAGCAGUGGAGGCUCUGACAGCCUAGGGCAUGAGGGCGAGUCCCUGCACCGGUUUAUGCCUCCUGGCCCUCCGGGAGUGGAAUAUGGUUACGUAAAUGUUGAAGGAACCAGAUUUGCAGAAUAGAGGCCACUGGCCAUUAUGUAAACUCUCUUCUGAGUCUUAAGAAAUGAAUGGUCCCCUCCCUGGAAAAGCAAAGAUUCUCUGGAUGAAAAGUAUUGUGGCUGUUCAGUCACUUUAAAUCAGAGUUUUUGAAAAGUACAUUUUAAAGCUCUUUUGCUAUCAUACUUUUAAAAAUAACAGGAGGUCAGAGUCUUGGGUGGUAAAUCAAAAUAGAAACAGCUUAAUUUGGUGACAGCUGUAAGAUAUCUUGCUCUUCCCAGAGCUCCUAAACAUUGGCCUGCAGGGCGUGUGUCCACCCACCAGGGUCACUUGUUUUACCAAAGCAAUCUCGGAAGGGUGGCUGUGGGUGUGUGGGUGGAAUGUCACACAGACAUCUCAUUUCCCCCUCACUUUACAUGAGAACAUAACUAUUUUUCUUCUUAAAAUAUAGUCUCCUACCCUCACGAGUAAGGAGAGAUUGGUACAUUUGGCUAAGUGUUGUGUCUAGGAGAUUUGGUUUACAGGUCUUCUCCAUGCCUUUUCUACUAGAAAGUGUGUGUCAAAUAACUUCAUUCAGUGUUGGUUAAAAUAUUUGAUCCUUUUUGUUUUUUUUUUUUUUUUUUCUCUUAGCGCAGUUGCUGCUAGGGAAUAUGUUAGAAGCUAUUUCUUUAUUUGUUCAUUUGUGAACUUUCCUUCUACAUGUUCCUUUGCCCUAGAUAGCCUGUCAAAGAAUUUUAAGCCAAAGAAUUUUUCUCCAAAUAUGCCUGGGGUAAAACAGAAUUUUGUAAUAGAAAUGUAGACAGCCUUCUAGAUGUGAACUCUUCUCAUGAUGUUAAACAGCAUCUGUCUUCAAGGACGCAUCUGCCUUUAGUGAAGAGGGAAGGUCUGACUUAAAAGGAUCAUUUUGAGAAAGGCUCCAACAGAGGACACAAAUCCUCCCUAAGGGGCAGAGAGCAGAGGGUAUUGUUUACAAAGUGGGCUCAGACGUUGGUGGCUUGCGUUCAACUCCCAAAUUCAUCAGUUACUGAGUUUGUGUGUCGGUGAAUGACUUCACCUCUCUGGACCCAGUUUCCCUGUCUUUGACAUAGGAAUGAUGACACAGAAAUCAUGAUAUAAUGCCUCAAACACGCUCACAACUGUGCUCAGAGCAUAGUGACACUUGGCCUGUGCUGUUGACUGUUAUUGACAAACCCAAGUUUCUUUUCUCUUACAACUUCAUGGAGAAAUAGGUCUUCUUUGAAUGUGCCUUGUGGUACCAGGGGACCUCACAAACCUCUUCAACCUUUGGUUGUCUAAGCAAGCCUGGGAAAUGUAGCAGUGCAUCCUUGAAAAAAUC
rnacentral:lncRNA from 1 species